ensembl:lncRNA
UAUGUCGAAAAAAAAUGCGAUUUUUCAAACAUGUCGUAAAAACGUGCCAUAUGAUGAAAUAAUGUAAAGGAGGCCGUGAAAAACAGUCCAGAAAGGUUUUCUUUGAAUAAAAAAAUCAUCAUGAAUUUUGGCGCAAAAAAAAUGCCUUACUAUACUAUGUCGAAAAAAAUGCGAUUUUUCAAACAUGUCGUAAAAACGUGCCAUAUGAUGAAAUAAUGUAAAGGAGGCCGUGAAAAACAGUCCAGAAAGGUUUUCUUUGAAAAAAAAAAACAUGAAUUUUGGCUCAAAAAAAUGCCUUACUAUACUAUGUCGAAAAAAAAUGCGAUUUUUCAAACAUGUCGUAAAAACGUGCCAUAUGAUGAAAUAAUGUAAAGGAGGCCGUGAAAAACAGUCCAGAAAGGUUUUCUUUGAAAAAAAAAUCAUCAUGAAUUUUGGCGCAAAAAAAUACCUUACUAUACUAUGUCGAAAAAAAAUGUGAUUUUUCAAACAUGUCGUAAAAAUGUGCCAUAUGAUGAAAUAAUGUAAAGGAGGACGUGAAAAACACUCUGGAAAGGUUUUCUUUGAAAAAAAAAAUCAUCAUGAAUUUUGGCAUAAAAAAACGCCUUACUAUACUAUGUCGAAAAAUGUCAUUUUUCAACAUGUGAAAAUGUGCCAUAUGAUGAAAUAAUGUAAAGGAGGCCGUGAAAAACACUCCAGAAAGGUUUUCUUUGAAAAAGAAUCAUCAUGAAUUUUGGAGCAAAAAAACGCCUUAUUAUACUAUGUCGAAAAAAAAUGUGAUUUUUCAAACAUGUCGUAAAAACGUGCCAUAUGAUGAAAUAAUGUAAA